CCAGCCACACAGCUCCACCUGUCUGUAACACCUCAGCAGGCAGCCUCAUCAGUGCCAGGAAUGUUGAAGACAGAUAAACACAAGAAUCCUCUUCAAAAUUCCAUGCACUUGGAGGAAGGGAGCUCACUUGAUUUCUGGAUGACUUCCUCCUUGACUGGCUAUUGCUCUCUUUGCUCUCACAAUGGAGAGGAAAUACAAGAAACAAUCAUGUGAAUA
rnacentral:lncRNA from 1 species